rnacentral:rRNA from 1 species
UACGUAGGGAGCAAGCGUUGUUCGGAUUUACUGGGCGUAAAGGGCGCGUAGGCGGCGCGGUAAGUCACUUGUGAAAUCUCUGAGCUUAACUCAGAACGGCCAAGUGAUACUGCAGUGCUUGAGUGUGGAAGGGGCAAUCGGAAUUCUUGGUGUAGCGGUGAAAUGCGUAGAUAUCAAGAGGAACACCUGAGGUGAAGACGGGUUGCUGGGCCAACACUGACGCUGAUGCGCGAAAAGCCAGGGGGAGCAAACGGGG